AACCGCACAGGAUAAUCCAUAUUCCCGUGCGGUCAGAUUAAGUGGACCGCAUGGGAUAAUUGAUUAUCCCACGCGGUC
rnacentral:pre_miRNA from 21 species